UUAUGGUCAACUUGUUUCAAUAUGGCGGCGGCAUCUUCAUGAUCGCUGGCCAGUCAUAUUCAGCGCGAGUAUUACAACGCACUUCACGGCUUAAAAGCAGUUUGUGUCGUCUGAAGAAGGUACUGCAAUAGUUAGUGGGAUCAUCCAGUGUUGGCCACUGUAUGAGGGGUAACGGCACACCACUGCUGAUGCACAUGCAGGACAGUUCAUCACCCCACAUCACACAGCGGGAGCUAUUCAGGAUUUCAGGAGCAUCUGAUAAAACACCACAGUUCUUUCAGGCUCAAUCCCCUCCCAGAACAUGCCCAUUUUGGGGUUCAGGCAAGUCCCUGGAGCUCUGCAAGAUAUCUCUGCCUUUUCUCCAGCUGUGAGCAGUGGGACUUCAAUUGUUGGCUUCUCGUUGGUGGUCUUGUGGCUGUUCAAACCCAUUUCACCACGAGUAUCUACACUACACAAGAAAUCAGAUCCAGUCCUAUAGACUUCCUGAAUUUCCUGAAGAAAUGCCAACUGACCCAGCCGAGGAUCGAACCAGCGACCUUCUUGCUAUGAGUGACUAAUGCUAUUGACAACUGUUGCUAUAAGGGACAUUUGUUCCUAACAAUGUAAAUCUUUACCUCUGAACAUGGUUAGUGAGCUCUUUGAUCUGUGCCAGCAGUUGGAUUUGAGGCGGAUCGUGGCAGAGCUCAACGUUGGGUCUUUGACUGCGUGUGGACAGUCGAGUUUGAGCCACUUUCAGAGGAGCUUCUUUUUCUGCGACAGCCAAUCGUAGAGCAUCCUGAUUCUUCUCUUGAUUUGCGAUCUCAGCCAGCAGCUAUGAAUGAGAAUGUAAUAAGAUAGAUAAAAAAUAAAAUAAAAAU
rnacentral:lncRNA from 1 species